rnacentral:rRNA from 1 species
AUUGAACGCUGGCGGCAUGCCUUACACAUGCAAGUCGAACGGUAACAGGUCUUCGGAUGCUGACGAGUGGCGAACGGGUGAGUAAUACACCGGAACGUGCCUAGUAGUGGGGGAUAACUACUCGAAAGAGUGGCUAAUACCGCAUGAGAUCUACGGAUGAAAGCAGGGGAUCGCAAGACCUUGUGCUACUAUAGCGGCCGAUGGCAGAUUAGGUAGUUGGUGGGAUAAAAGCUUACCAAGCCGACGAUCUGUAGCUGGUCUGAGAGGACGAUCCGCCACACUGGGAAGGAGACACUGCACAGACUCCUACGGGAGGCAGCAGUGGGGAAUUUUAGACAAGGGGCGCAAGCCUGAUCCAGCAAUGCCGCGUGCAGGAUGAGGGCCUUCGGGUUGUACACUGCUUUUGUACGGAACGAAAAGCCCUGGGUUAAUACCCUGGGGUCAUGACGGUACCGUAAGAAUAAGCACCGGCUAACUACGUGCCAGCAGCCGCCGUAACAC